rnacentral:rRNA from 1 species
CAACACUGGGACUGAGACACUGCCCAGACUCCUACGGGAGGCUGCAGUCGAGAAUCUUUCGCAAUGGACGAAAGUCUGACGAAGCGACGCCGCGUGUGUGAUGAAGGCCUUAGGGUUGUAAAGCACUUUCGCCUGGGAAUAAGAGAGAUUGGCUAAUAUCCAAUCGAUUUGAGCGUACCAGGUAAAGAAGCACCGGCUAACUC